GACAGAGGGGGCAAGCGUUGCUCGGAAUUACUGGGCGUAAAGGGCGCGUAGGCGGGAUGGCAAGUCGGUCGUGAAAUCCCUCGGCUCAACCGAGGAACGUCGAUCGAUACUGCUGUUCUUGAGGAUUGCAGAGGAGACUGGAAUUCCCGGUGUAGCGGUGAAAUGUGUAGAGAUCGGGAGGAACACCGGUGGCGAAGGCGGGUCUCUGGGCAAUUCCUGAUGCUGAGGCGCGAAAGCGUGGGGAGCAAACAGG
rnacentral:rRNA from 1 species